CCUACGGGUGGCAGCAGUGAGGAAUAUUUGUCAAUGGCCGUAAGGCUGAACCAGCCAAGUCGCGUGAAGGAAGAAGGAUCUACGGUUUGUAAACUUCUUUUAUAGGGGAAUCAAGGGAUCCACGUGUGGAUAUUUGCAUGUACUCUAUGAAUAAGCAUAGGCUAACUCCGUGCCAGCAGCCGCGGUAAUACGGAGGAUGCGAGCGUUAUCCGGAUUUAUUGGGUUUAAAGGGGGCGUAGGUGGGUUUUUAAGUCAGCGGUGAAAGUUUGUGGCUCAACCGUAAAAUUGCCAUUGAAACUGGAAGACUUGAGUGUGUUUGAGGUAGGCGGAAUGCGUGGUGUAGCGGUGAAAUGCAUAGAUAUCACGCAGAACUCCGAUUGCGAAGGCAGCUUACUAAGCCGUAACUGACACUGAAGCUCGAAAGCGUGGGGAUCAAACAGGAUUAGAUACCCGAGUAGUC
rnacentral:rRNA from 1 species